CGGCCCAGCUGCUGUGGGGCUCGGCGGCUGCAGUGCUGGUCCUGGGGCUCCUGGUCUUCGCAGCUGGCACCUCGUGCUGGUGGAGGGCCCCUGUCCGCCAUGGCUACACCCCUCUGGCUGGAGACAACUACCCCCGAGGCAACAUCUAACACCGGGUUGCCAGGCCCCAGGGCUCCCGUGGACUCUUCCCUCAGCUGCAGACCCUGGUGCUGCCCCUGUGCUUGGUGCUUGAUCCUGGCAGUACUACGUGACCCGAGCCCAGGACAGCGGUGCUAAAAGACACCCACCCCCGCGGAUGCCCCCAUCCCAUAUGGAUGGGCAUUCCCUGCACGGAGGUCUUGGGGGCCUCUAUAUGACCAGAGGGAGCCUGAAUAGAGUCCCCCAUCCCGUAUCCCCAGGCCAUAGACAUACUGGGCCUAUAUAGGGAUGGAGUGACCCAAUUCUUGACCUGCCUUGGAGUCCACCAGCUUGUCCAGGCCCCGCAGCCUCCAUAGAUAGCUGGGUCUGUGUGGGAUAUAGAGAUUGAAUGCUGUCUCCACCUCAAGGCCGGCUGGCCUGUAUGGACAAAGAGCUUCGAACUGUGAUCCACCCCAGUCCACAGUCCCUCGAGCUUUGGGCAGCCACUGGUAUGUAUAUCACCCUGGCCAAUGGAGGAGGCUGGACAUGGACCCGCUUAGCCGCGCCCCAUCCCUGACUCAGACCUGACCUGCCAGUACAGACCCGCAGUCCCAUAUAGCAAUAUAGGCACUCAAAUAGAGCCCCUGCCUCCCAACCCCCCCGCCCCUCUGCUGCAUACCCCCAGGCUGACAGAAGCCCAUAAGGGCCAAAAGGACCCUAGAGCACGCCCCAGAAAUCGGGGGGUGGGAAGGGUGUGGGCCGCGGGCAGUGUGCAUGUAUUUCAAUGUGCUGCACGUGUGGCAGGGGGGACAGCAAGAUCUCGGCCCCUGCCAGCUGCAUGUCAAUAAAAGGUGGCUUAUUCCCCAGGCUCCACGUCUCUCUGUCUGUGUGCUACACACCAGGGGAGGUGGAAACUGGGCUCUGCACUUCCAGCCUUGGCAUUUCAAGGCCCCGUGCUCUCGCCCCAUUGCCCCCAGAGCUUGGAAGGGACCCUGGCACCCUGGCUCUCGGUCCCCCGCCCCCCUCCUCUCCCCGACCUCGAGAAAACCCAGGUGCCCGGGCUCCCAGCCUGAACCCAGCAGCUGUGGGUACGCCGGGUCCAGCAGAAGCAGUGGCAGGGCAGGGAUUUCCAAGCCCUGAGUCACCGAUGUCAGUGGGAAGGCGUGGGGGGGAAGUGAAACCCAGGCCUAGUGGGCUCAGGAUGCAGAGGGACAGACAUACAGACGGGGCUGGUAGCUCCGGAGCGCUCCUCCAGGCAGGCGGGUGAGAACAGCUCUGCCGGGUUGAUGGGUGGCAGCCGUGGGACAUCUGCUGGCCACAGAGAGAAACUCCAGCAGCCACAAGGGAUGGGACCCAGGAGUCCUGGCUCCUACCCACUUCACUCCGCUCCUCUUCCUGAGCUGCAGAGAGAGCCCGGGUGUCCUGGCCCCCAGCUCCAAGCCCCGCAAACCCAGUCCCCAGCCAGGGGAGAGCAGGACUCAGAUGCCCUGACCCCCAAAGCUGCAGGUCCCAAGCACGG